rnacentral:rRNA from 1 species
UACGGAGGGUGCAAGCGUUAUCCGGAUUCACUGGGUUUAAAGGGUGCGUAGGUGGGCAGGUAAGUCAGUGGUGAAAUCUCCGAGCUUAACUCGGAAACUGCCAUUGAUACUAUCUGUCUUGAAUAUCCUGGAGGUGAGCGGAAUAUGUCAUGUAGCGGUGAAAUGCUUAGAUAUGACAUAGAACACCAAUUGCGAAGGCAGCUCACUACGGAUGUAUUGACACUGAGGCACGAAAGCGUGGGGAUCAAACAGG